UACGGAGGGAGCUAGCGUUGUUCGGAAUUACUGGGCGUAAAGAGCGCGUAGGCGGUCUGUAAAGUUAGGAGUGAAAGCCCAAGGCUUAACCUUGGGACUGCUCUUAAAACUCACAGACUAGAGAUUGGUAGAGGAUGGUGGAAUUCCUAGUGUAGAGGUGAAAUUCGUAGAUAUCAGGAGGAACACCGGUGGCGAAGGCGGGUCUCUGGGCCGAUAUUGACGCUGAGGAGCGAAAGCGUGGGGAGCAAACAGG
rnacentral:rRNA from 1 species